CAUAUUGUUCGCGGGAGCUCGGAGAACCGGGCUGAGAGGAGUGCUGAUACGGCACUUGACCGUUAUACCUGAACUGGAUAAUGCCAGCGGAGGAAUGAAGCCUUGGAGUCGUA
rnacentral:ncRNA from 1 species